ACUACACCAUGCGAUUCAAAGCAAUGUUUCUUUAAAUGUAAUCACUAGUAUAUCUAAUGGCAACAUAAAUUGUUCAUAAAUAAUUGAAUAACGAAGAAUUCCUCAUUAUGUCGACGUCCUUUCGAGAGAAUCUGUUUCAUGCAUUCAUAGUUCUGGUNAUCGUGUCGUUGGUUGUCAGUGUUUGGAUCGUUUUCGUUGAUGACUUCUCGUUCCACCGCAUUAGCCUAUAUCAAAGGGUUGACGAAGACGAUCAAGUAAUGAUGCUUAAAGACAAUAUCACAUUGAACGACGAACAGACGACACAAAACACAAAGCCUGCGAGAUGUAAAUGUAAAAAGAGAAUCAUGUUUCUUAAAACGCAUAAAACUGGAAGCAGUACCAUUACCAACAUAUUAAAUCGAUUUGGUAACAAAUACAAUCUCUCGUUUGCUCUACCUACCAACAGAAUCUCGUUUGCCUGGCCCAAUCGGUUUAAAACAAUAACCAUGAUGCCCUUAUAUGGAAGACCUCAUAUAUUAUGUAAUCAUGCAAGAUAUAACAAACCAGCCCUGCAUCAUCUGUUCCCAAAAGACCGCAGUACCUACAUUACUAUCCUUCGNGAUCCAAUUCAACAGUAUGAGUCUAUAUACAUUUAUAUGAAACUAUGGGAAGGUUUGAAAAUAAACGGAGAUGGUGACCACGUUCUUAUUUUAGACAAGUAUCUACAGAAUGUGACCACAGUUCAAUCGGCGAGGCUGGACGGAAANUUAGGUUCGCGAUUAUUGCGCAAUCCAAUGCUUUUUGAUCUGGGGUUAGACUUUCGUUAUUAUCAAGACAUUAAAGCAGUUUGGAAAUAUAUCAAGUUUCUGGAAAAGGAGUAUGACUUGAUCUUGAUAAUGGAGUACUUUGAUGAGUCUGUGGUUCUUUUGAAAAGAAUGCUUUGCUGGGAGCUCGAUGAUAUUGUUUAUUUGAAAUUAAAUGAACGUCUAGAUGGUGAUAAACGGAAUUUCUCAGAAAGAAUUGAGAAAAACAUUAAAAGUUGGAAUAAAGCAGAUUUUAUGCUAUAUGAUUAUUUUAAUANGACNCUAUGGACGAAAAUUGCCAAAGAAGGCCNUGAUUUNUACGAGGACUUGGCACAAUUCCGUAAACGCCAAAAAGAGGUAUUUGANACNUGUGUUGAUUCGACUUCGCUAGCUAAAGCUUACACGGGCAAGUACGUUAAAGGNUAUAGACUGAGAUCAGACCUCUCAAAGAAUACAAGAACGUUUUGUGGAAACAUCAUUAAGGGGGAGUUGACUUUNAUGGAAGAAAAUAUUGCAAUACAGAAAAAAAGACAAGAACUUGUAGACCANCCGGGAGAAUUUGAAGAUAUUUUUGAUAAAGAAAACGACUGGGAGAAGGCCAAAGAUCUUGUACAUGAUCCGAUUCGCUUGCCUUCGAAUGAUACUGAAGACGCAACAGACUCCCCAAUCGAAUGAUUGCGAUCAUGUCUUCUUCUCUGCGAAUGUUCAGAUAUAGUGACACCAUGCAUCCACAANUAUACAAUUUCGAUACAAUUCAUUGCUGGAAUACCAAGAAAAGAAUUUACAGUCCUCUUUCAUUAUGACGUCACAUUGAAACCCUAAGCGGCAUUUGAUGGACACGACUGAAAGCUCAUUCCUGUGCGAGUCAGAAGUGAAGAGACAAAGGAACCAAGUUUGCGUUCAUGGAAUGGACAUUGAAGAAACGUCGCGUCACAUUUAUGUUUUUACUGAUUUCGUUGUUUUUCUAUUUCUUCUAUCACGUCAACUCCCGGUCCGUACUUCGUGUUUCUUUA
rnacentral:misc_RNA from 1 species